rnacentral:misc_RNA from 1 species
ACAGCUAACCCCUCCGACGGAUCACCCUCCCGGUUCUGAGCCCCGGCGUCACUGCCUCCCAUUGACAGACUUUUCUGGCGGCAGCAGAAAAGUACUCCAGCCCAGCAGACUCCAGCCGAGCCGCACCCAGUGACGGCCGACGCCGAGCGGCCGGUCGGCGCUCCAGACGGGCCGCGCCGCCGGCCAGCCCACCGCCAGGCACUGCACCAGUAGCGGCCGCGCCUGCCCGGCCAGUACCCGGGCCGCGCACACUGCGGCUGACGUGCAGCCCGCCGCCGCCGCAGUCGCCGACCCACGGACGGAUACACGGCCACCUACGUCCGGCUGGCCGACCAGACCACCCUGACCAGGUCUAUCCGCCGACCGGAGCUGGUGCUGCUCCUCAAACACCUGCGGCCCAACACGGCAUACUCAGUUCCGAUGAGCGCCUGUAACCGAGCCGGCCAGGGUCCUGCCAGCUCGCCCGUCACCGCCACCACAGAGGAGGGAGUGCCGGAGGUGGCGCCGCGUCAGCUGACCUGCCGGGUCGUGUCACCCUCCUCCAUCGGUCUCAGCUGCCUGUGGCUGGCCGGCGGCGCGUGCUGGCGGCGCGAGGGCCAGUUCCCGGCCGACCUGGACGUGGCCGAGUUGUGCAGUCUGCUGCCGGUCACAGUCUACCAGCUGUUGGUGAGCGCCCACAGCGCGGCCGGCACCACAGAGUCUACCACCCGGCUGGCCAUCCACGCCGCAGACGGAGCAAUGAUAUCUCCGCUGCCGCCGCCAGAAAAGUCUGUCAAUGGGAGGCAGUGACGCCGGGGCUCAGAACCGGGAGGGCGAUCCGUCGGAGCGGUUAGCUGUGAACUGGCCACAGCCGGGUAGAGCCCACCGUACUCCCGGGACACCUGCUGAAUCGUCAGCUGACUAGUGACGUCCUUAACUCCAGAGGUGCUGUCUUGGACGUGGAACCUGCCGCCCAGCUGGUCGGCGCUGACGCCGUCCCUCGUCCAGGUGACAGCCGGCGGCGGUGACGCGGUGGCCGCACAGGUGAAUGAGACCGCAGUGUCCACCACCGGCUGCACCGUCUGCUGAACCAGCGACAACAGCAGCCGAGCCGGCAACGCUCCGAUCCUGACCUGGGUGGUGGCGAGGUCAUCGGUCACGUGACACUGGUACAUGCCGGCCACGGACGGGUUGCCGCCGGUCAGCUGCAGAGCCGGCCGGCUGGCGGCGGCGGGCAGACGGCGGCCGUCCUUGAGCCAGAUGAUGUCGCCGGCUGCCAGGGGCGGCGUCACGUGACAGGUCAGCAGAGCGGGCUGUCUGGUGGUCACCAGCAGCUGACUGGGUUCGAUGACAGCGCGGCGUGUCACUGUCACCUCCAGUCGCGUGUUCCGCGCCGCGCUGCCCACCUCCGAGCUCGGCGAUCUCGGCAUACGCCCGCGUCCCCUGACCUGAUCCGGCGUACCACCAGCUGCUGGCCACUGACCUCGACAUGACCAGAGUGGAGCAGCGGCGUCAGCUCAGCGCCGCGCACCUGUUGUUGUUGUUGUUGUUGUGGUUCCCUCCAGCCGCGUUACCGCGGUGUAGCCGUGCGGCUCUGGAGGUCCCUCACGGCGGCCGCCAGGGCCGCCACCUCUCCGUCGUCGCGGACGUCUUCCGGGCUCGGGAAAAUCGUCCCGUACCUCCGGAGACGCCAGCCCAUGAGGGCUGGGCACCGGAAGAAGAGGUGCCGGUACGUGUCGGCCUCCUCCCGGCACACGGUGCACCGGCCCGCCGUACAGUCGGUGUCAGGGCACUGGCGGCAAUCGUCGGAAGAGUUCCGUCCAACCCGGUGGAGGUAUUGGCGGGAGCCCGACCAGUGGCCCGCGCGGAGUUGGUGGACAUCGACGGCCGACGAUCUGUCCCUCGCCGCGACCGGUGGCCGCAGCCGGUUCCCCAUCAGGGUCCUGUACCAGCCCUCCGGCCAGGCGGCGGUGGUGCGGUCGCGGGCCAAUCUGACGGCCGCACGGUGGGCGGUAGCGACGUCAACCGGGACCGCCGCCUGGGGGAGCGCGGCCGCCUCCUUGGCGAUCUGGUCGGCGCGAUCGUUACCGUCGACGCCGCGCCGGCGGGCCGGCGCUGCGGGCCACCGUGCGCAGCGUCACACACUGGCGGUGUGAGUGUUAAUGGAAACAGACGACGCUGAGCUGGGGCCGGACGCAGCAGGCGACGGACGCUGUAGUGUGCUGGGCAAAAUAGUCCAAGAUGCUGGUAGCGGGUGAAAUACGCAGCUGCUCGUCGUCUCCAAGAGCGCCGCGGACGCCGUGGACUGCGCCAUCAAAGUCGACGGAAAGUCGGUUCCAGCAGCCGACCGUCUCAAACUACUCGGAGCUGUUGUGUUCGGGUAUAGGGGGUGUAGACUUGGACCGCCUCUGCGGCCCCACCUCUGUGUGCCUGGGAGCGCCCCUGCCGGCGCUCAGCUGUCCGUGCGCGCCAAGCGGCGUGAGUGGCGCACGGGACGAAAACUGACGCUCGCCAUACUUGUUUAGUUUUUGGAAGACUCUCUCGGCCCAUUCGCACCGGCAGUAAAUAAAUCGCGUUUCUCUUAAGCUCUCUCUCACUCGAACCGUGAAUUACGAACAUAACAUGGCGCGGUCAGUAGAUGGUUCCGUGCGAGUGAUUAGUGUAUAGCGCGCCGUGAUCUGUGACGAUGAGUGACAUUGAGAAACUG